CUCAUUCUCUCUCUCUCUCUCUCUCUCUCUCUCUCUCUCUCUCUCUCUCUCUCACACACACACACACACACACACACAGAGGAGGGGGCUAAGGAUAUAGUUUACCAGCAUGAGAAACUGAGCUCAAGUCCCCUGUGGUGUGUGUGCAUGCAUGUGUGUGUGGGAGAGAGAAAUAUAUCCACCACAAUGACUGGUUCAGUAUGCAAAUAAAGAGCCCUACAGGGAUGAAGAAAUGGCUCAGUCAUUAAAGCGCUUGCUGCACCAUGUAAUAGAGCAGGCCCACGGCUGUAAUCCCCACACUGGGAAGGCAGUUACAGGCCUGGGCUCACUGGCCAGCUCAUUUAGCCUACUCAGUAAGUUUUAGGCCAGUGAGGACAGUCUGAAGAAAACAGUGUGGACAGCUCCCAGACAACCAGUGCAGGAGGUUGUCCCCUCACCCACUUGUAUCUACACACACAUACAGCUGCACCCACACUACACAUGCACACCCACACAGCCACACCCACACUACACAUGCACACACAUACAGCCAUACCCACACUACACACACGCACAUGCACACAGCCACACCC
rnacentral:lncRNA from 1 species